rnacentral:rRNA from 1 species
AAUAUUGGACAAUGGUCGCAAGCCUGAUCUAGUCAUGCCGCGUGAGUGAUGAAGGCCUUAGGGUUGUAAAGCUCUUUCACCGAAGAAGAUAAUGACGGUACUCGGAGAAGAAGCUCCGCCUAACUUCGUGCCUUCAUCCGCGGUAAUACGAAGGGGGCUAGCGUUGUUCGGAUUUACUGGGCGUAAAGCGCACGUAGGCGGAUUGGUCAGUUAGAAGUGAAAUCCAGAAGCUCAACUUCGGAACUGCCUUUAAUACUGCCAGUCUCGAGUCCGGAAGAGGUAAGUGGAACUCCUAGUGUAGAGGUGGAAUUCGUAGAUAUUAGGAAGAACACCAGUGGCGAAGGCGGCUUACUGGUCCGGAACUGACGCUGAGGUGCGAAAGCGUGGGGAGCAAACAG